GGUUAAGCGACUAAGCGUACACGGUGGAUGCCCUGGCAGUCAGAGGCGAUGAAGGACGUGCUAAUCUGCGAUAAGCGUCGGUAAGGUGAUAUGAACCGUUAUAACCGGCGAUUUCCGAAUGGGGAAACCCAGUGUGAUUCGUCACACUAUCAUUACGUGAAUACAUAGCGUAAUGAAGCGAACCGGGGGAACUGAAACAUCUAAGUACCCCGAGGAAAAGAAAUCAACCGAGAUUCCCCCAGUAGCGGCGAGCGAACGGGGAGCAGCCCAGAGUCUGAAUCAGCAU
rnacentral:rRNA from 1 species